rnacentral:rRNA from 1 species
GACGAACCGUGCGAACGUUAUUCGGAAUCACUGGGCUUAAAGCGCGUGUAGGCGGCCCGGCACGUCCGUCGCUGAAAUCCCCCGGCUCAACCGGGGAAGUGGCGUGGAUCCGACCGGGCUGGAGGGGGGUAGGGGGAGCCGGAACUUCCGGUGGAGCGGUGAAAUGCGUUGAGAUCGGAAGGAACGCCCGUGGCGAAAGCGGGCUCCUGGACCCCACCUGACGCUGAGACGCGAAAGCCAGGGGAGCGAACGGG